GUGGGAGCUUCCGUGGCUGUGAGGAGCCGAGCCGGUGGCGGCAGCAGCAGCAGCAGCAGAGUCGGAAGCAGUGGAGGGGUGCUUUUGCUCUCUCUCUCUCUCUCUCUCUCUCUCUGAGGGAAGUUUCCUUCUUGGUUGAAGAAGACGAAGGAAAAGGAGGAGGAGGAGAAGAAGAAGGCCGCCAUUAUUUAUUAAACACACCGGCGACAGGGAUGAGGGCGUGACCAGUUAUUGGCAUUCCUGGCAUGGAACUGAGCUGGCUUGAUUUGUGGGGACUAUAAGGUUGCCAUCACGAAAGCCAAAGUGGAUUUCUCCGGUGUGUUGUGCCUGCCCCCUUCCGUCAUUCCUGGAAAUGGGCUGGACGGAGGAGG